GAAGCCAUGAUAGCAUUAGGGUAACAAAUUCAACAAUGCUUAGCAAAGCUGCAAUGUCAUGCAUGUUAUAAAAAUGAGUAGCUAGACAACAAACGCAAUCACCAAACUUUCCUGAGAUGUCAAGUUACAAUGAUGCAGGCCAGGCCAUUCGAUUUGGCCUUUCCAAGGUAGCACUAACAUGUACGGAAAUAAGAAUGAGGGAGGUUUGUUAAAGAAUCUCUAAUUCUUAAAGAGAUACCCGCAUAAAACUGAUAAAGAAAGUUGAGAAAAAAAGGAAAAUCAUAUAAGAAGUUAGUCAGACUAGUGAACAACUUUGACCCAUAAAUUAUACUAAAUAAUUACGUCUUUAAAGGAACUUCCACCUCUUACACAGAACUCAUACUAGAGGAUUAGAAAAGGAAGUUUAAAGUCAAAUAGCAGAUGCCCAUGCUGCAAGUUACAUAUAAAAAUCAUUUCUGCAUUCUUUCUUCAGUAAAAAUAACCUCCUAGCAUUUCAGAUCCAAUCAAACUGUCCUUAUCCUCUUUGCAGGACUAUUGAUUGAUGGCCAAAAAAGAAAAAGUAAGAAAAGUGAUGCAGGUGGAAUAAACACGAGAAUUUUAAUGAGCGAAAUGGGCUGUAGAUGUGA